rnacentral:rRNA from 1 species
CUCGUAGGCGGUUCGUCGCGUCCGGUGUGAAAGUCCAUCGCUUAACGGUGGAUCCGCGCCGGGUACGGGCGGGCUUGAGUGCGGUAGGGGAGACUGGAAUUCCCGGUGUAACGGUGGAAUGCGCAGAUAUCGGGUGGAACACCGGUGGCGAAGGCGGCCCUCUGGGCCGAGACCGACGCUGAGGCGCGAAAGCUGGGGGAGCGAACA